rnacentral:sRNA from 1 species
GCCUAUAUUGUAUAAGCACCAUUAAAUUCCAGCUGGCAUUAGUAUUCUACAUAAUGAGCAACAAGCUAUCAAGUAAAUACUAACACUUUGUAUUUUAAAGCUUACCAAGCAUCUUCCACCAAGAACAAUUGGCUAUCCAUGGACUCUUGUUUAUGGUACUGGAAAACAUGGCACAAGCUUGAAAACUCUUUAUCGAACAAUGACAGGUUUAGAUACCCCAGUGCUGAUGGUGAUUAAAGACAGUGAUGGACAGGUUUUUGGUGCGUUAGCAUCUGAGCCAUUUAAAGUGAGCGAUGGCUUUUAUGGUACUGGAGAGACCUUUGUUUUUACAUUCUGUCCAGAGUUUGAGGUAAGAACCACUAUUUCAAUAUUUUGUUUAUAAAGAGAUGGCAUAACAUACUGCCCAAAGCAAUUUAUAGAUUCAGUGCUAUUCCCAUUAAACUACCAUUGAUAUUCUUCACAGAAUUAGGAAAAACUAUUUUAAAGUUCAUAUGGAACCCAAAAAGAGCCCAAAUA